UAAUACGUAGGGUGCAAGCGUUAAUCGGAAUUACUGGGCGUAAAGCGUGCGCAGGCGGUUUUGUAAGUCAGAUGUGAAAUCCCCGGGCUUAACCUGGGAACUGCGUUUGAAACUACAAGGCUAGAGUGUGGCAGAGGGGGGUGGAAUUCCACGUGUAGCAGUGAAAUGCGUAGAGAUGUGGAGGAACACCGAUGGCGAAGGCAGCCCCCUGGGUUAACACUGACGCUCAGGCACGAAAGCGUGGGGAGCAAACAGGAUUAGAUACCCUGGUAGUCCACGCCCUAAACGAUGUCAACUAGUUGUCGGGUCUUAACGGACUUGGUAACGCAGCUAACGCGUGAAGUUGACCGCCUGGGGAGUACGGUCGCAAGAUUAAAACU
rnacentral:rRNA from 2 species